rnacentral:misc_RNA from 1 species
UUUGCAGCGCUGGUAGCAGUGGUGGAGGUCUACGGACAACCAGAAGGGACGACCACCGUCAGCAUCGGGAAUGAGGAAGUAAGCACCGGCAAUAUCACGGCUGAGAAUAGAUUUCUGGGAAGGUCGUCCUACACGGAAGAUGAUGAUGAUACCAUUUGUGUCGCAGCAGACAACAAGUUCUACUUGUAUGCUAAUUCCCUGAAGCUGUAUUCUUGCUACAACCAGCUACCGAAAGUUUACGUGGUGAAACCAAAGAGUCAGUGUAAACCAUACCUGUCAGAUUGUCCCAGGAACUAGGAGUAUUGCCAGUCCGUUGCCUCAGAUUGAAUCGUCUGCGAGGGAGUGGAGACUAAAUGGCUGACCUGCUGACUGAAGGCAUCUGCUGUUUCCA